rnacentral:rRNA from 1 species
CGAUGGCUCAGGAUGAACGCUAGCGACAGGCCUAACACAUGCAAGUCGAGGGGCAGCACAAGGAGCAAUCUGAGGUGGCGACCGGCGCACGGGUGAGUAACACGUAUGCAACCUGCCUGUAAGCGGGGAAUAACCCGUUGAAAGACGGACUAAUACCGCAUAAUACUAAAUUACUGCAUGGUAAUUUAUUUAAACAUUUAUGGACUUACAGAUGGGCAUGCGCAUGAUUAGCUAGUUGGAGAGGUAACGGCUCCCCAAGGCAACGAUCAUUAGGGGUUCUGAGAGGAAGGUCCCCCACACUGGUACUGAGACACGGACCAGACUCCUACGGGAGGCAGCAGUGAGGAAUAUUGGUCAAUGGGCGUAAGCCUGAACCAGCCAUGCCGCGUGCAGGAAGAACCGGCCUUAUGGGUUGUAAACUGCUUUUACAUAAGACUAACCGUAUAUUUGCGAAUAUACCUGAAUGUAUUAUGAGAAUAAGGAUCGGCUAACUCCGUGCCAGCAGCAGC